AGGCAGAUUUUCAUAAAAGUCCUUACAGGAAGAGCACCACUCUCAAGGUUGAACCCUUGGACACAACAGAAAAUCCAAAGGCCAAGAUCCAGAAUAAAGAAGGAAUUUCUCCUGAUCAACAGAGACUGAUCUUUGCUGGCAAGCAACUGAAGGAUGAACAUACUCUAACUACACAUUCAAAAGGAGUCCGCUCUUCAUCUUGUGUUGGGACUUCAUAGAAGUAGUCAUACCACUCCCAAGAAGAAUAAACAUAAUAGAAAAAGAUUAAGCUGGAUGUCCUGAGAUACAAUAAGGUGGAUGACAACAGCAAAAUGAGUGGCCUUCAUUAGCAGUGUCCUUCAGAUGAAUGUGAUGCUGGAGUUUUUAUGGCCAGCCACAAACAAUUGACAGACAUUAUUGUGGCAAAUAUUGUCUGACUUACUGCUUCAACAAACCAGAAGACAAG
rnacentral:lncRNA from 1 species